rnacentral:rRNA from 1 species
AUUGAACGCUGGCGGCAUGCCUUACACAUGCAAGUCGAACGGCAGCGCGGACUUCGGUCUGGCGGCGAGUGGCAAACGGGUGAGUAAUACAUCGGAACGUACCCUGUUGUGGGGGAUAACUAGUCGAAAGAUUAGCUAAUACCGCAUACGACCUGAGGGUGAAAGUGGGGGACCGCAAGGCCUCACGCAGCAGGAGCGGCCGAUGUCUGAUUAGCUAGUUGGUGGGGUAAAGGCCCACCAAGGCGACGAUCAGUAGCUGGUCUGAGAGGACGAUCAGCCACACUGGGACUGAGACACGGCCCAGACUCCUACGGGAGGCAGCAGUGGGGAAUUUUGGACAAUGGGGGCAACCCUGAUCCAGCAAUGCCGCGUGUGUGAAGAAGGCCUUCGGGUUGUAAAGCGCUUUUGUCCGGAAAGAAAUCGCGCUGGUUAAUACCUGGCGUGGAUGACGGUACCGGAAGAAUAAGCACCGGCUAACUACGUGCCAGCCGCCGCCGUAA